GUAAUUUCCAGCCUCUUUCCUCUUCUCUCAAUUCUACGCCCCUUUCCUCUUAGGAUAUAUAUAUUAAAUUCUUUCAGGUCGAGAACAAUGUCAAACCUAAACCCUCCCCGCCGCCGGCCCCCCCUCUCUAAUAACUCUAACAGCUAGCAUACUUCUCUCCGGUUGCAAUAUUGCUAGCGAAACCCUACAACUUCUGAUGAAUAUCGCUGCGAGGACAAGAUGAGCAGUACUGAGUCAUUUAGCCCAGGUAAUGUUUUGGCAUAUACAUUUUAUAAUGAUAAAACCUGUUCUUUCAAUUACAUUUCUAUUUAAUAAUGCCUCCAUAAAAAAUUGUAUGAUAAAGACUUUCUCUUUCUCAAGCAUGUGAACCCAGGAAAUUCGAAUUUGAAGAACUAGCAGAAGCAACUGGAUAUUUCUCCAACAAACAACUCGUUGGCAGUGGUCAUUUUGCUGAUGUCUUUGUGGGAUCCCUUCCAGGGGUUGAGGUCAAUAUUGUUGUUAAGAAACUCAAAUAUAAGCAGGAUGAAAAGCAGGAAGAAGAAUUCAAGAAUCAGAUUAAGGACUUUGGCAUUGUGUCUCACCCAAAUCUUGUUAAGCUGCUUGGUUACUGCUGUGAAGAAGCCGAUAGAUUGCUUGUUUUAGAGUUUG
rnacentral:misc_RNA from 1 species